rnacentral:rRNA from 1 species
GACGAACGCUGGCGGCGUGCCUAAUACAUGCAAGUCGAACGAGAGCGACCGGUGCUUGCACUGGUCAAUCUAGUGGCGAACGGGUGAGUAACACGUGGGUAACCUGCCCAUCAGAGGGGGAUAACAUUCGGAAACGGAUGCUAAAACCGCAUAGGUUCUACAGUCGCAUGACUGAAGAAGGAAAAGAGGCUUCGGCUUCUGCUGAUGGAUGGACCCGCGGUGCAUUAGCUAGUUGGUGAGGUAACGGCUCACCAAGGCCGUGAUGCAUAGCCGACCUGAGAGGGUGAUCGGCCACAUUGGGACUGAGACACGGCCCAAACUCCUACGGGAGGCAGCAGUAGGGAAUCUUCCGCAAUGGACGCAAGUCUGACGGAGCAACGCCGCGUGAGUGAAGAAGGAUUUCGGUUCGUAAAACUCUGUUGUUAGAGAAGAACAGCGCAUAGGGUAACUGUUAUGCGUGUGACGGUAUCUAACCAGAAAGCCACGGCUAACUACGUGC